rnacentral:lncRNA from 13 species
UCAGGUGUGCGGUAUGCACAGCUACUUAGUAUUGCAUUUCUAUGGAUAAUGUAAUCCUGUUUCUUUUACAGGAAGUAGUUAUUUUUCUGUUAUGAUACCUGUGCCACUAUCAUCUACGGGACAGCCCAGGUCCCUAAAUCUGUCUACGAGGAUAAUGAGACCAUCGCCAUGCACGAGGGUAAGUUGUGUGAUUGAUGGUCUCGCUUCAUCCCUGCACUAGGUUGUGUUCAGUAGAUGAAAAAAGUUUUGAAAUGGCAUGGUAUUUUCUGAACUUGUCCAAUAAGAACACACAUUUUCAGUGGGUCGAGUGAGAUUUUAAACAGAAUGAGAUUGGGAGGUACUUCGUGAACUUGUACAAUAAGUACACAUAUUUUCCUUUCCGUUGCAUAACAUUUUACUACUGUUUGCCCUACUGAACACGACCCUGGUUUACAAACCCUAUUUCAAUUGUGCACAGCUGCAGAGAUUAGAGAGGAGAAGAGGAAGGAAGCGAAGCUUCUGGGGGUGGACAGAGAGGGAGACAUCUUCAGCCUGUCUCAGCUGGUCAGCAUCUGAUCAUCCCUGGCCCUCCACUGAACCUCUCAACCUCAAGAUGCGGCCUCCAGACAUCCACUGUAGAGACCUGCCUACAGGGGGCAGAAGCAGUGUGUGAGAAAGAUGCUCAAGUCUGGAGCCAGCCCCAGCAUCAAGAAUGAGCAGUAUGUAGCAACUGAUAUGUCCACUGAAGAAAUUAAACACAUUAUUUUUAUAACUAUGGUAUACCUUUUUAAUAAAUAUUAAAUAGGCUUGUGACUUGCAUGUUUGCAUGGAUAUUACUUUACGAAGAGCCUGGAUGCAGUUUCAAAUCACUUGCAUUUCAUAAUGUAUAGAACAGUCAUAUAGAUUUUGCCUAACAUUUACAAAGCAAAAUCUACUUAGUUGGUGUCUAUUGUGAGUCCCAAAUGACACCCUAUUCCCUACAUAGUGCACUGCCUUUUACCAGAGCCCUAUUCUCCCUGUUAAAAAGUAGUGCACUAGAAUAAGGUUCCAUUUGG